rnacentral:misc_RNA from 1 species
CGUAUCGUAUGGUGAUUUUGUUCGCAAUCGGGGAUAUUUUCUAUUAACCUGUGGCGGCAUCUCAUUAAAAUUGAUCUGCGCAACGUGAUCAGAACCAGUCCUAUCAAGGCGCUCAGCUCGUGAAAAUCGUGACUGUUGUCUGACCACUUUCACAUUCGUGCUGACUAUACUCGCAAAAUGUACGCGAAAAAUGUGUCCACGACGCAGGCGAAUUCGAGAGACAGUGCCCCAGGCGAGUCAAUCACCGAUACGCCUAAAUUGAUACACGGAGGAAACUACAUCAAGGAGGGCAAAGACUCGGCCAAAAGCACUUGUCUGAUUUUUUCUCCCGCAGAUGAAGAUUCCGUCGGAGCUUUGGGAAGAUAUCUUCAAUUAUUUGCUGAACAUGAAGUCAAUUUAUUGCACAUCGAAUCGAGAAGCUCGCUUCGUCACGCGAGCACGUACGAAUUCAUGGUGGAAUGUGCGCCAGGUGGAAACCUUGGAGCCGUCAUAGAAAAUUUGCGCAAGCAAUGUACCUAUUUCUCAGUCAUUUCUAGAAACCAUAAAGAUAAUAUGGGAACCGUGCCAUGGUUCCCGAGGAGGAUCAGGGACCUCGACAAAUUCGCGAACCAGAUUCUUUCUUACGGGGCUGAGCUCGACAGCGAUCAUCCGGGAUUCACGGACCCGGUUUAUCGACAGAGACGCAAAUACUUCGCCGACAUUGCUUACAAUUACAAACAUGGUCAACCUAUCCCCAGAGUAGAAUAUACCAAGGAGGAAAUCGAGACCUGGGGUGUGGUUUUCAGGAACCUGACGAAACUUUACCCAAAGUAUGCUUGCAAAGAGCAUAAUCACGUGUUUCCACUGCUCAUUGAAAACUGUGGCUACAGGGAAGACAAUAUUCCUCAACUGGAAGACAUUUCUAACUUCUUGAAAGAUUCAACCGGUUUUACUCUCCGUCCAGUGGCUGGUUUGCUGUCGUCUCGUGACUUCCUUGCUGGUUUGGCAUUCAGAGUGUUCCACUCAACGCAGUAUAUACGGCACAGUAGUAAACCAUUGUACACACCUGAACCUGACGUAUGCCAUGAAGUGCUGGGUCAUGCACCAUUAUUUGCCGAUCCUGCAUUCGCUCAAUUCUGUCAGGUUGUCGGCCUGGCAUCCCUAGGAGCACCGGAUGAAUAUAUCGAAAAACUUGCGACGUGCUUUUGGUUCACCGUGGAGUAUGGUAUUUGCCGACAAAAUGGCGAACUAAAAGCAUAUGGUGCCGGACUACUUUCGUCUUUCGGCGAAUUAGAGUAUUCUCUGAGCGGUAAACCAGAACUGCGACCUUUUGAACCAACGAAGACCGCAUUGCAGAAAUAUCCGAUAACGGAAUAUCAACCCGUAUAUUUUGUUGCUGAAGACUUCGAAGACGCAAAGCAGAAGAUGAUGAGUCGUUUAUUUGUAUGAUCUCUGAUAUGCAGUCAAUAAAUGGUUACGCAAUCAUUAUUUACAUUUGACGAAAUGAAAGUUUAAAAGAUCUCGAAGAACGCACACCCUCGAAGUUGCAUCAAACUGAUUACGAAAAAUUCGCCGAAUCCAUACCACGGAAAUUCGGGGUCAGAUACGACCCGUACACUCAAAGCAUCAGCAUAAUCGACAGUAAAUACCAAAUCG